AUUGAACGCUGGCGGCAGGCUUAACACAUGCAAGUCGAGCGGAGCGAGGGUGCUUGCACCUUAGCUUAGCGGCGGACGGGUGAGUAAUGCUUAGGAAUCUGCCUAUUAGUGGGGGACAACAUUCCGAAAGGAAUGCUAAUACCGCAUACGCCCUACGGGGGAAAGCAGGGGAUCUUCGGACCUUGCGCUAAUAGAUGAGCCUAAGUCGGAUUAGCUAGUUGGUGGGGUAAAGGCCUACCAAGGCGACGAUCUGUAGCGGGUCUGAGAGGAUGAUGCGCCACAAUGGGACUGAGAAACGGCCCAGGCUCCUACGGGAGGCAGCAGUGGGGAAUAUUGGACAAUGGGCGGAAGCCUGAUCCAGCCAUGCCGCGUGUGUGAAGAAGGCCUUUUGGUUGUAAAGCACUUUAAGCGAGGAGGAGGCUACUUAGAUUAAUACUCUGGGACAGUGGACGUUACUCGCAGAAUAAGCACCGGCUAACUCUGUGCCAGCAGCCGCCGUAA
rnacentral:rRNA from 1 species